AUUGAACGCUGGCGGCAGGCCAAACACAUGCAAGUCGAGCGGAUGAGAGAAGCUUGCUUCUCGAUUCAGCGGCGGACGGGUGAGUAAUGCCUAGGAAUCUGCCUGGUAGUGGGGGACAACGUUUCGAAAGGAACGCUAAUACCGCAUACGUCCUACGGGAGAAAGCAGGGGACCUUCGGGCCUUGCGCUAUCAGAUGAGCCGAGGUCGGAUUAGCAAGUUGGUGGGGUAAUGGGUCACCAAGGGGAAGGACCGUAACCGGUCUGAGAGGAUGAUCAGUCACACUGGAACUGAGACACGGUCCAGACUCCUACGGGAGGCAGCAGUGGGGAAUAUUGGACAAUGGGCGAAAGCCUGAUCCAGCCAUGCCGCGUGUGUGAAGAAGGUCUUCGGAUUGUAAAGCACUUUAAGUUGGGAGGAAGGGUUGUAGAUUAAUACUCUGCAAUUUUGACGUUACCGACAGAAUAAGCACCGGCUAACUCUGUGCCAGCAGCCGCCGUAAAAC
rnacentral:rRNA from 1 species